rnacentral:lncRNA from 1 species
UUCUUUUCAGAUUUAUUUGUAAUUAUCUGUGUCCACAUAAAUGCAGUGUUCGUGGAAGCCUUAUGGAUGUAGAUGUCUUGGAGCUGGAGUUAACAGGUGGUUGUGGCCUGCCCCAUACUGGUGCUGGGAAGCAAACCCAGGAUCUCUGCAAGAACAGUGCCAACUCUUAACCAAUGAGCCAUCUCUCCAGCCCCGUUUCUUUUGGUCUUGACAAUCCCAGGAAAGCCAUCUUGUUUCAUCUCAGCCUCUCAAGUGUUGGGAGUGUGGGUGUUAUUUUAUUAUUAUUUUUUUUGAUCCCACUGUUAUUUAAGAACUGCCCUUGUUUUCCCACUGUGCACACUUGAGGAGGAGCCACGGUGCACUAUCCUUUGGUUCUCCAUCAUUUUCAUGGUUGAGACUCACUGCAUUCUGGGGGCUCCUCCUUGCCCCUUUUCCCUACCCUCUGCUCCUGACUUGCUCUUCCUCUCUUCCUUUCAAAAAUAUCUUUCCAAGCAAUCUGGAAUCUGGAAGAUGACUCCCGAUUUGAGUUUUUCUACAGUGAUUGAGUUCUGAAGGAUGGAGAACAUCCAAGAAGGAAUUUGUCAUCCUUUGCCCAUUGGCAGGUCUCUGUCCAGUCAAUAUGUGGAAAAGUUAGUCAGAAAUACGAACAGAACUCUACUUUGGAGUACUUGCCGACGCCUGGAAAAGUUCAAGCCGGCUGUUUAAAAGCCUGAAUGUUUCUCUUGUAGUCCUUCGGUCAUGUUCAGACAUCUGGUCAAGGAAGAAGCAUGAGAAGAAAACAAAAAGCCGAGCAGUAACUUUGAAGUCAGUGUCUUGGCUCACGAAACUAGGUGAAGAAAGUGCCUUUUUCCCCCUUUGGCGCGGGGGUCAGAUCCCAUGCAGGAAGCCCUCCAGUCGAAGGCGCUCACCCUCCCAGCAGACUCUCUGUGAAGAGCAGGCCUGUUUUCCCAUUCUGGCAUUUACCCUCAGAGCCCCCGAGCACUCCGGGAGGCCCGUUUUGUCACCGGAGGUUGAAAUAGAACCUCCCGCUAGGUAUUCUGAGUGUCCCCCGGGGGGGAGCGUCCUCCGCUGUGGAGGGGGCAUGCUAGUGAGGGCUCGGCUCUGAUCCCAGGACACCUUUGUCCCUGGAGACGCCCAGCCAGUCAGGUACGUGGAAGGCCAGGGCGGCCGGCUUUCUGUGCCUGUGGCGUGGGGUCUGGGGACCUGGACGGAAUGGCGGGCGGGCGGGCGGACAUCGGGUGGGCGUCAACAACUCAACGAUCUCUACCCCCAACCCCCACGCGCCCCUCUUCUUCUCCUAUCCAUCGC